AGAGUUCUCUGUGAAUGUACGGUAGUUACUAUAACCCUUGGUUCGCUAUCUCGAGUCGGAGGUAUGACAUUAUGUAAUUCUACAAAUUAUUAUCAUGCAAGUGCCAAGUGCUAGCAAGCAAGUCAUUUUCUUCAAGCUAGCAUCCAGUAGCUUCACCUAAAAAUUUAUUCAUACAUGAAUCUUUCAGCUAAGCUUCCGUCAC
rnacentral:lncRNA from 1 species